AUAGGUGUGAAAACUGCUCAUACAUUUGUUGUCUAAUCGAACCAUGGAUCCAAAGAAACUCAACAUAUAAUUAAAUCAAGAUGUGCAUGUGUGAUGGACUAAAUGAUAGUAAUGGUGAAAAAUGUAUAAGUGAUGAUAAAACUUACUUCUCAUUGCUCCUCAUAUUGGUAUCUCUCCUCCUCUCUUGAUCUUUGCUUUGGGAGAACAUGGGCUAUCUUUUUCUUCCCCCCUUUUUUUAGGUGGCUAGUUAAUACCCCUAAUUCUACAGUCGGACACUUGUCCAUUUUUUCCGCUCAGGUGGGUAUCUUUGUACCCCUAAUUCUACUUCGGACACUUGUCCAUUUUUACCUCUCGUCUCACUCUUUUUCUUUUGUUUUCUUUUUCGAGGUUCCAGGCACUUGCCCCUUUUUAUGUCCUCGUAUAUUUUUGCAUAGCCCAUGCCUCUUUUGGAUUGAAUCUUUUUUUUGGAGAGAGAGAGAAUAACAACACUUUGGGACAGUGAGUGAUAACAAUAUUUCUAGCAGAUUUUUAAUGAAGGGUGAUGGAUAGUGGAAUAGAUGUGUGAAAGUGAGUAUCUUGAUUUCACCACAUGAAAAGCUCCUAGUGGUCUACACAGCUCGAUCAAACUCAAUGUGAAUAUAAGUAGUAAAGAUAUAGAAAUUCUAGCAAGUAUGGUUGUGGUAGGAAUUUCGUCAUGCUAGGAACUCAUCAUGUCAUUUGCAAGUUUUCAAAAUAAAUCUCCAGAACUUAGUGUUGUAAGAACAAGAUAAACAGCAGCUCAGAGUUUAUAUCAUGUCGAUCUCUUACCU
rnacentral:lncRNA from 1 species